AUUCCGGUUGAUCCCGCCAGCGGCCACCGCUAUAGGAAUUCGAUUAAGACAUGCGAGUCGAGAGUCGUAAUGGACUCGGCGGACUGCUCAGUAACACGUGGAUAACGUGCCCUUAAGUGGAGGAUAAUCUCGGGAAAUUGAGGAUAAUACUCCAUAGACUACGAAAUCUGGAAUGAUUCAUAGUUGAAAGUUCCGGCGCUUAAGGAUCGGUCUGCGGCCUAUCAGGUUGUAGUGGGUGUAACGUACCUACUAGCCUAUGACGGGUAUGGGCCUUGAGAGAGGGAGCCCAGAGUUGGAUUCUGAGACACGAAUCCAGGCCCUACGGGGCGCAGCAGUCGCGAAAACUUCACAAUGGGGGCAACCCCGAUGAGGGAAUUCCUAGUGCUAGCACAAUUGUGUUAGCUUUUCUCUAGCGUAGAUAACUGGAGGAAUAAGGGCUGGGAAAGACGGGUGCCAGCAGCCGCGGUAA
rnacentral:rRNA from 1 species